UGCAGUCGAGCGGAGAGAGGUAGCUUGCUACUGAUCUUAGCGGCGGACGGGUGAGUAAUGCUUAGGAAUCUGCCUAUUAGUGGGGGACAACAUUUCGAAAGGAAUGCUAAUACCGCAUACGUCCUACGGGAGAAAGCAGGGGAUCUUCGGACCUUGCGCUAAUAGAUGAGCCUAAGUCGGAUUAGCUAGUUGGUGGGGUAAAGGCCUACCAAGGCGACGAUCUGUAGCGGGUCUGAGAGGUUGAUCCGCCACACUGGGACUGAGACACGGCCCAGACUCCUACGGGAGGCAGCAGUGGGGAAUAUUGGACAAUGGGCGCAAGCCUGAUCCAGCCAUGCCGCGUGUGUGAAGAAGGCCUUAUGGUUGUAAAGCACUUUAAGCGAGGAGGAGGCUACUCUAGUUAAUACCUAGAGAUAGUGGACGUUACUCGCAGAAUAAGCACCGGCUAACUCUGUGCCAGCAGCCGCGGUAAUACAGAGGGUGCAAGCGUUAAUCGGAUUUACUGGGCGUAAAGCGCGCGUAGGCGGCUAAAUUAAGUCAAAUGUGAAAUCCCCGAGCUUAACUUGGGAAUUGCAUUCGAUACUGGUUAGCUAGAGUGUGGGGAGAGGAUGGUAGAAUUCCAGGUGUAGCGGUGAAAUGCGUAGAGAUCUGGAGGAAUACCGAUGGCGAAGGCAGCCAUCUGGCCUAACACUGACGCUGAGGUGCGAAAGCAUGGGGAGCAAACAGGAUUAGAUACCCUGGUAGUCCAUGCCGUAAACGAUGUCUACUAG
rnacentral:rRNA from 1 species